AACGAACGCUGGCGGCAGGCCUAACACAUGCAAGUCGAACGCAUCGCAAGAUGAGUGGCGCACGGGUGAGUAACACGUGGGAAUGUAUCCUUUGGUUCGGAAUAACGUCUGGAAACGGACGCUAAUACCCGAUGAGCCCUUAGGGGGAAAGAUUUAUCGCCGAAGGAGCAGCCCGCGCCUGAUUAGGUAGUUGGUGGGGUAAAGGCCUACCAAGCCGGCGAUCAGUAGCUGGUCUGAGAGGAUGAUCAGCCACACUGGGACUGAGACACGGCCCAGACUCCUACGGGAGGCAGCAGUGGGGAAUAUUGGACAAUGGGCGCAAGCCUGAUCCAGCCAUGCCGCGUGAGUGAUGAAGGCCUUCGGGUUGUAAAGCUCUUUCGCACACGACGAUGAUGACGGUAGUGUGAGAAGAAGCCCCGGCUAACUUCGUGCCAGCCGCCGCAGUAAAAC
rnacentral:rRNA from 1 species